CACGGGUGCGUAACGCGUAUGCAACCUGCCCCCACUCAGGGGAAGUAGCCCGCCGAAAGGCGGAUUAAGUGCCCCCAUAGGCCCAGGGCGCCGCAUGGCGCUAUGGGUAAAGCUCCGGCGGAUGGGGAUGGGCAUGCGUGCCAUUAGCUAGUUGGGGCGGUAACGGCGCACCAAGGCGACGAUGGCUAGGGGGUCUGAGAGGAUGGUCCCCCACACUGGUACUGAGACACGGACCAGACUCCUACGGGAGGCAGCAGUGAGGAAUAUUGGUCAAUGGGCGGAAGCCUGAACCAGCCAAUGCCGCGUGCAGGAUGACGGCCCUACGGGUUGUAAACUGCUUUUCCCCGGGAAGAAUAAGCCCCUCGUGAGGGGUGAUGCCGGUACCGGGGGAAUAAGGAUCGGCUAACUCCGUGCCAGCCGCCGC
rnacentral:rRNA from 1 species